rnacentral:rRNA from 1 species
GAUAAACUCGGGGGACUGCUGACUAUAACCAUUUCUCAAAACAGAGGAAGGUUGCGGCAAUAACAGGUCUGUGAUGCCCUCAGAUGUCCCGGGCUGCACACGUGCUACAAUGAGUGGCGCAAUGUGCUAAUGUUUAAGGGAUAAGAGUGUGGUCAGUAGAACGUCGGGAUUUCCCCUGACGUCUCCCCCGCACGAUUAUCAGCCUUCCCUUAACAGGGCGGGCAACCUUUUCAAAAUACUGGUUUGAUGUUAAAGUAUUGAGUCGUUUUUUUUGGAUGGUGGUUUGUUAACCAAUACCAUCCGGCAACUGCUCGCGAGUUUGUGGUUCUGGCGACUCAUGGUGGGGACCGACGUUUGUAAUUUUUUGUCGCGUGUUAACUAGGAAUGCCUUGUACUGUCGAUUCACUAAGUU